UGGGGUAUCGCCAAGCGGUAAGGCACCGGUUUUUGAUACCGGCAUUCCCUGGUUCGAAUCCGAGUACUCCAGCCA
rnacentral:tRNA from 1 species